rnacentral:rRNA from 1 species
UACGAAGGGGGCUAGCGUUGCUCGGAAUCACUGGGCGUAAAGGGUGCGUAGGCGGGUCUUUAAGUCAGGGGUGAAAUCCCACGGCUCAACCGUGGAACUGCCUCAGAUACUGGCGGCCUCGAGGAGGGUAGGGGCAUGCGGAACUAUGCGUGGAGCGGUGAAAUGCGUUGAUAUCGGGAGGAACACCAGUGGCGAAGGCGGCUGUCUGGGCCAGUUCUGACGCUGAGGCGCGAAAGCGUGGGGAGCAAACAGG